UCCUGUUUGUGCUCGGGAGCACACUCUCCCUUUCUGAAAUCCCGCGGAUAAAGUUAGCACGCCGUGAUUUCUCCAGCUCUGAAGGUGAUCGGCAGCCAGCCACCCUUUCCCGUGGAUCAGGUUUUCCUGAUUGGCCACCAGGUGCCCCCAAAAGGUGAAGAGAUGCGGAGUCUAAACAAUCUCAAAAUGCAUCUACAACUGAAGAUGACCAAACAAAAAUAACCAGAAGACAAGAGAGAGAGGGAAGGGGAACCGGGAGAGCUUGGGUUUUAUGGAAGCUAACGCUGAAAGGAAAGCUUACUGCCACUAAAAAUUCUCAAACACACUAAAAUCAAUCUUGGAAUACAGUCAAUGGACUUUAGAAUACUUCGAAUGACUAAAGAUUUACUUUCUGUCAUCAUCACAAGAUGCUGCACACAUUUGAAAAGGAUUUUCCCUGUUUAAAGACAAAGAAAAGGUGUUUUUUUUUAAUUUAAUUAUCACUAGUUAUUCUAGUCUGUGAACACGCUUCAAUAAAAUGUAACCAAAGUUAA